UAAGGCAGGUCUACUGGUAACAAAUUCCCUCAUUUUUUCUUUGUCUGAGAAAGUAUUUCUCCUUCAUUUGUGAAGGAUAAUUUUGGGGGGAUACAGAAUUCUAGGUUGGUGAUUUUUUUUUUCCUCAACACUUUAAACAUUCCACCCAUUCUCUUCUUCCUUGAAUGGUUUCACAGGAGAAGUCAGCUAUAAUUCUCAUCUUUGCUCCUCUAUAGUUCUUCUUGACAGGAGUGAGUGGCAACUUCUAAUCCCCUUAUGUGCCAGACUGGAAACCUGGAACCAGUUUAUAUUGAUUAUAACAGUGAUGGCGAAGGGAAACCAUGUUAAUGGUAGUGGGACAGAUAUCACUGGACUCCAAAUAAAUACAUGCCAAGCUUUAUGCUAGACACUGGAGAUUAAACGGCAAGCUGAAAAACCCAACAAACACAGGCCCCUUUUCUUAUGAAGCUUAAUGUUGAGGAGAUGCGAAAGACAUAAACCAAAUAACCACAUAAGUGAAUCAGAUUUUUGUGAUUGUCCUGAAGAGAGCUACAUGGAGCUCUAACAUAUAACAGCAACUUGACCUCCUCUGGAUCCCAAGGGGCCCUUGGAACACCCUGCCUGUGCACUAAGAAACAUUUUGGAUUUUUGUCUUGUGCCCUCUCUUCUUUCACCAACAUGGAAAAAUGGUCACUGUGUUCCUAGAGUGAGGUACAAGCCAGCCAACAGUCUCCUGUGAUCAUUCACAAAGAAGCGAAUCCUGUGGACAGAGGAGCCUGGCGGGCUACAGUCUGGGUUGCAAAGAGUCGGACAUGGUUAAACGACUAAGCACAUGUAUGCACAUCAAACUGUAAGGAAGGAUGAUGAACUCUGCAACAGAAGAUAUUGAACUGGAAUGUUAUUCCUAUCAGUUUCUAAGAUAUGAAGGCAAAAAAAGAAAAAAGAGAAAAAAUGGGAGAAAAAGCAUCCUGAGAAGUCUUCCAGCUCCACCUCUGCAAUGUUUCAAGUGUGCAAGUUGGUUAAUGCUUAAUGCUUUUUACCUUGGGGCUGUGGAUACCUGCUGUUUAAGGCAUUAGAAAAGCGAUCAGCUUGCUCUGGAUGAAAUUGCUGCAGAAUAAACAGCCUUAUAAGCAAGCCUAGCACUACGGUGCUUUCAGUGUAUUAUUCACCCAUUCAGUUUCUCUUCACUCUUUGGAGGCUUCACAGGGUUUCACAGUAUCUAUUCUGAACUGAUGAUAUUAAUUAUGCCAAUAGGCAGGCCCCAGAGAUUGCUGUUUUAAGAAAGCUUUACUGGAAUAAUCUUAAUAUAAGUUCCCGAGUCUCUUUAGAUUUUUAAAAUUUUCUUUGGCUCUUUUUUCCCUUUGCUCUUGAGAAGCCCACAAUUUGCUAUUUCUUGUUGCUACUUACAGUUUUUCCUCUACUGACACUUUGGAUUAAGGUUGUUAUUAAGUUACCAUUCCAUUCCUUUGGGACAACCCUAUCUCCAUACACUGUAGGUAGAACCUUGCCAGCAACCUGCUGUUCACAAAUGGGGAACUACAGCAGAAGCCAAGCAAUUCCUUUGUUGCUGUCAUUUCAGAUACAUUGAGCGCUAUCAAUGUACUGAGUAUACAAAACAGAAGGCGCCUACCCUCUACAUGCUUACAAUAUUGGUCUUCAGAGAUAGGAAAGCUCUUAGGGCAAACAGAGCAGUUAAAAUUAGUGAGGGCAGUGAUAUAAACAAGGUCCAAAAAUAAAGUAAUACUUGUUGCACUAAGAGCAUUUGCAAAAUGAAUUCUUCAGCUUUAAAGUCAUCUUCUCUAUCUCUAUUUAUUCUGUUAGCAUGCCUCACAAAAGUUUGAAGUUCUUUAGACAGAGUCUGAUACUUUGUCAUUCAGCCAUCUUUCUCCUGGCCCUUGACAAGCCAGGAUUCAGCAUGCCACAUUCUCUGAAGAGAGGUGUGGCCAUCUCUGAUCCCACAGGAGAGCUCCUGCAGGGUGCA